AAGGUGGAUUUGUAAGUAAUUAUUUUUAUAGAAUUAAUAAAUGAAGGGUGGAAUAACAUGUGUACAUAUUGCCCGUCGCUCUCGUUAUUUUUUGAGAUAAGUCGUAACAUAGUUGAUGAACUGGAAAGUGUAUCUUUUUGA
rnacentral:rRNA from 1 species